GCAGGUGGACGCUGUUUGUCCUGCCAGGGCAGGAUGGAGAUGGAUGAGGACCCAGAUAUCCUGCCCACCCAGGGGCAAGGCAACAUCAUCAUUACUAAGUAUGAGCAGGGACUCUGAGCUGGGGCAGCAGUGGACAUGGAGCAUGAGCAUGUUGACAUCUGGAAAUUCACCGGUCGCCUCUGGGUUAUGUGUGAGACAGAGCUGCCCAUGUCAGUGCCCUGAAGGUGAAGGUAAGAGCCAGUGCCUGCUGCGUGGGAGGCUGAUCCAGGGACCAGGAAUCAGGAGUGGUCGGUGAGACAGAGGGGGUGGCCCGUGGGCCCAGGCAGUGGUGAGUGGGCCACGGCUAUCCCUGGGACUGGCAGCCUUUCCUGAUGGACUCUGUUCCCAUGAGCGUUUGACCAAAUCCCAAACCAAGAACCACAAUAUUGGCUCAGAGGUCAUUGCCUGUUUGCACCAAGUCCCCAGCUAAAGGCCGGGGCCCGACCAAAACUCAGGGUGUUUGUGGCCUGAGGAUGGUAUGUCCUGCGAUCACCAGUCCAGACCACCAGCUCCAGUUAGUUCAGAGAGUCUCAGCUCCCAGGGUCUGCUGUGUCCUGGCUCCUUCAGGGCCCUGAAGCCUAGGACGCAGCAUCCAUGGGCCGCUGCUGGAGGCCUGGCAGCUCCACUAACUCCAUCCUGGUUCAUUUGACAGCAAAGAUGUUAGGAAAUAAAAUGCACUGCCAAGUGGCUGAAAAUACUCAGAGACUGGACAAAUAUAAGAACAGCAGGAAGGUAACAUAACAGCUGGGACUGGUGGCUCAGACCUGUAAUCCCAGAACUUCGGGAGGCCAAGGUGGGCGGAUCACCUGAGGUCAGGAGUUUGAGACCAUCCUG